UACGAAGGUGGCAAGCGUUGUUCGGAUUUACUGGGCGUACAGGGAGCGUAGGCGGUUGUGUAAGCCCUCCGUGAAAGCUUCGGGCCUAACCCGGAAAGUGCGGAGGGGACUGCUCGGCUAGAGGAUGGGAGAGGAGCGCGGAAUUCCCGGUGUAGCGGUGAAAUGCGUAGAGAUCGGGAGGAAGGCCGGUGGCGAAGGCGGCGCUCUGGAACAUUUCUGACGCUGAGGCUCGAAAGCGUGGGGAG
rnacentral:rRNA from 1 species